ACGCAGAUGUCCCUCGGUGUCCGUGC
rnacentral:sRNA from 1 species